ACUGAGACACGGUCCAGACUCCUACGGGAGGCAGCAGUAGGGAAUAUUGCUCAAUGGGGGAAACCCUGAAGCAGCAACGCCGCGUGGAGGAUGAAGGUUUUAGGAUUGUAAACUCCUUUUGUUAGAGAAGAUAAUGACGGUAUCUAACGAAUAAGCACCGGCUAACUCCGUGCCAGCAGCCGCGGUAAUACGGAGGGUGCAAGCGUUACUCGGAAUCACUGGGCGUAAAGAGCGCGUAGGCGGGAUAGUCAGUCAGGUGUGAAAUCCUAUGGCUUAACCAUAGAACUGCAUUUGAAACUACUAUUCUAGAGUGUGGGAGAGGUAGGUGGAAUUCUUGGUGUAGGGGUAAAAUCCGUAGAGAUCAAGAGGAAUACUCAUUGCGAAGGCGA
rnacentral:rRNA from 1 species